rnacentral:rRNA from 1 species
GUGGAUUAGAUACCCUAGUAGUCCACGCGGUAAACGAUGGAUACUAGGUGUAGCCGGUCUCGACCCCGGCUGUGCCGUAGCUAACGCAAUAAGUAUCCCGCCUGGGGAGUAUGGCCGCAAGGUUGAAACUCAAAGGAAUUGACGGGGGCCCGCACAAGCGGUGGAGGAUGUGGUUUAAUUCGACGCAACGCGAAGAACCUUACCAAGGCUUGACAUCUACAGAAUCUGUUAGAAAUAGCGGAGUGCCCGAAAGGGAACUGUAAGACAGGUGGUGCAUGGUCGUCGUCAGCU